rnacentral:tRNA from 1 species
CAGGGAGACAACAAAAUGCUCAAUAUUAUUAUUUUGUCACCUUAGGUCGAUCGGUAUCUCACGUUUUUAAUUUAUUAAGAAUUUCAUUUCCUAAGUUUUUCUAGGUCACACCCAUUAUUUUUCCUGGGCCAUUAGCUCAGGUGGUUAGAGCGCACCCCUGAUAAGGGUGAGGUCCCUGGUUCAAGUCCAGGAUGGCCCAUCUCUCUAUGUUGGGGGUAUAGCUCAGUUGGUAGAGCGCCUGCUUUGCAAGCAGGAUGUCAGCGGUUCGAGUCCGCUUACCUCCACUGAUUACCACCUCUUCCAUAAUCUGUAGAAAGGAAAUGUUUUGAGUUGUGAUCAAUUUCUGAACGAAUCUAGCUUCCUAAUGUAAUCAUUAAGAUGCUGGACUCAUUGAAUUAAUUUCUUUGUUUUCAGAGAACCUUGACAACUGCAUAGAUUAUUUUUAAAGACAAUAAGCAUCUUUAAUGAUGCAGAUUUAUUAUUUGUGCGAAUGCAUUAAUAACAAUUCUAUUAAGCUGAUGCUUCAAUUUUGAAGUUAUU